AGAUAUGUACUUUAAAGUAAAAAAAAUUUGGCGGUAUUUUAGUCUGCUCAGAGGAACCUGUCCU
rnacentral:tRNA from 1 species